rnacentral:rRNA from 1 species
AAACCUCUUUUCUCAAGGAAGAAGAUCUGACGGUACUUGAUGAAUAAGCCACGGCUAAUUCCGUGCCAGCAGCCGCGGUAAUACGGAAGUGGCAAGCGUUAUCCGGAAUUAUUGGGCGUAAAGCGUCCGCAGGCGGUUUUUUAAGUCUGUUGUCAAAGGGUGGAGCUUAACUCCAUUUCGGCAAUGGAAACUGGAAAGCUUGAGUGUGGUAGGGGCAGAGGGAAUUCCCGGUGUAGCGGUGAAAUGCGUAGAUAUCGGGAAGAACACCAGUGGCGAAGGCGCUCUGCUGGGCCAUAACUGACGCUCAUGGACGAAAGCCAGGGGAGCGAAAGGGAUU